rnacentral:rRNA from 1 species
AUUGAACGCUGGCGGCAGGCCUAACACAUGCAAGUCGAACGAGUGGCGGACGGGUGAGUAAUGUCUGGGAAACUGCCUGAUGGAGGGGGAUAAAUACUGGAAACGGUAGCUAAUACAGCAUACCAUCAGAUGUGCCUAGAUGGGAUUAGCUAGUAGGUUGGGUAAAGGCUCACCUAGGCGACGAUCCCUAGCUGGUCUGAGAGGAUGACCAGCCACACUGUAACUGAGACACGGUCCAGACUCCUAAGGUAGGCAGGAGUGUGGAAUAUUGCACAAUGGGCGCAAUCCGGAUGCAGCCAUGCCGAGUGUAUGAAGAAGGCCUUCGGGUUGUAAAGUACUUUCAGCGGGGAGGCGUUACCCGCAGAAGAAGCACCGGCUAACUCCGUGCCAGCAGCCGCGGUAAUAC